GCUGUAGAAACAAAAGACGCCGAGAAAGCAGUUAAGCCUGACAUUGACCACCUGAAGGAGCAGGCAGGCCUUCCUGAAGCUAUCGACAGCAGAAUGAGGGAACUUCAGAUGAAAAUCACUGCAUGUGAUGGAAUGCUAGAGGAUCUCGCAAGACUUGGUUCCAUUCUCAUGAGAAAUGCUGAACCUGCAAAUGAUACUGCUUGGAUUCCUUCAAAAUAAACAAAGCAGACCCAGAUGAUACCAACCAUCAAGAUGUGAAGAUGUUGACCAGAAAGCAUCACUGGAAGAAAUACAAUAAGUCGCUAAGACUUUUAAAGCUGCUCCAGAUCUUUAAGAGGCCGGCAGUUUUGUCACAGACUAGAAGUUAUUUGCAUUUGUAUGAUUUGUAUUUAUCCAUUUUAAAAUGUUUAUUUAUGCAAGAUGUUAAAUAUCAAUUAAAAUGAAUUUUUCUUGUGUGGAAAGAAAUUCAAAGUUGGGCACACUGCUGAAGGAGUAUUCUGUGUGUUUCCAAAUGGUCUAAAAUGGGUAAUGUACUGUAGAAGUUGGCUGAUGUGUAUAUUCUGUAGAAGCACUCUAACAUGACUACUGUUAAACUGGACUGAAAGGUAAUGGAAAUGAUAUUGUUGAAAUGCUAACCUCUGAAGAUUGCAUAAGCAACAUUCAAGAGGGGGAGGAGGGGU